rnacentral:lncRNA from 1 species
CGAGUAGCCAUGGGCUUACCAUAGAAGGAACAAACUCUUAAUCUUAGAACUGCUUUAGGCAGUGGGCGUGAUGGUUAAAAACUCGGCCUUUGGCGUCGACCUCAGACGGAGAUCUACCAAUUAGGAAAUUAGCUGUGAUUUAGAAAAUUUAAUAUUUCGAUGCCAUACUUUCCUAAUCUGCAAAAUUUUUGUAAAUACCUGUGACCUAGUGUCGUGAGCGCUUAGCAACACCUGACACCCACUAAGCUCUCAGCCAGUGGUUCUGAAAGUGGUUCUAGACCAGCAACAACAGCAGUAGCAGCAGCACCUGUGAACUUGUUAGAAAUGCAAAGUUUCAGGCCCAUUCCAGUUCUACUGAAUCUGAAACUCGAAGGGAACAGCAACCUAUGUUUUAAUAAACCCCAAGGACUAUGGCUCCUUAACUCAGAAGGGCCCUUUUUUCUCAAAACAACCUCUGCAAGAUGUAACCUUGACUUCCCAGGUAUAUACCCAGUGACAUGAAUCCUGGAUCAUAAGGAGUUCUACUAAGGGUUGGAAGAUGGGACAAAGAACAAAGACAAAUGGAAAAGUCAUCAGAAACAAUGUGUUACUACAUUUUUGUUGCUGGGGAAAAGAACUGACUUGAUGUACUUCCUCAGAAGAGAGACCGAACACCAGGAAAGAAAAUACAGAUUUCCCCAGACUCUACCUGCUAUCACCAUUUUGUUGUAAUACACCUUAACUGAGAGUAAACAGAAGAGUCCAAGAACCUCUGGUUGUUUGCAGAUGGUCGCCAGAGAACCAUGAUGACAAAGAGGAUCAUGGAGAACAGCAAGCGCCAGAUGGCAUCGUCUACCCACAGCUCCCGCCAGUCCUACAAUACAGGGGAGAAGUACAACAUUUAUACACAUUAUCUUAACCCCUUGUUCAUAAAGAUCAAUGGAAACCCAUCUC